UACGAAGGAUCCAAGCGUUAUCCGGAUUUAUUGGGUUUAAAGGGUGCGUAGGCGGCUUAUUAAGUCAGUGGUGAAAGCUCCAUGCUUAACAUGGAAAUUGCCAUUGAUACUGAUGAGCUUGAGUACACUUGAAGUGGGCGGAAUAUGUCAUGUAGAGGUGAAAUUCUUAGAGAUGACAUAGAACACCGAUUGCGAAGGCAGCUCACUAAAUUUGUAACUGACGCUGAGGCACGAAAGCGUGGGGGAUCAAACAGG
rnacentral:rRNA from 1 species